GAGAGAGACAUGCGCAGUGAGUGCCUCCCGUCUCUUCUACCCGAACCCCCCCUCCCCCCCCCAGCAGAGAGACCCCAGCAGCAGCAGCAGCUGAUGAUGAAGAGAGAGGCAGUGGCAGAGGGGGGGCACCUUUUAUUUCUAUUUUUAAAGGGACAGGACACUAAUUUUACCCCACUUCAACCUUGAAUUGAGGGGGGUGGGGGGAAGGCGGCUGAGUUCCUUCCCCCACCCUCCAGCCCUGAGACCUGAGAGGGGGAUUGAGCCUGAGAGAGAAGAAGAAGGAGUUUCUUCUUCUUCGAAAACCCCCAUCCACGACUCCUACCCCCUCACCCCUCCACUAGCCUCCCUCCCGAGCCCCCUCCACCCUCCUCCUCUUUGGCCGUGAGAGGAGGAGAGAAAGAGACCAAAAGCCUCUUAGCAACACAGACCCUUCUCUGCUGCUGCUGCUGCUGCUACUGCUGCUGCUGCUUGGCCCUGGCUGGAGACAUCUCACUACACCCAGGAGCAGCCACUUCCCCAGCUCUCCUCCUCCUUCGCCUCCUCCUCCUCCACUCCCCCCCCUUUAUUACCCUUUGUGUCAUCCUCCACAGCUCCAGGGAAGGCACUCAAAAGUGGGGGGCAGGAAAGACACUUAUCAACUUUCCAGUUUUCUAUGGAUAUGAAGAUUUACUCCUAGUCAUCAGUGGGACCCCAUGAAGUCAGCCAGAAAGCCUAUGUCCAACUUAUGUACCUUUGCAAACUUGUCUGGAUUUUGAAUGUAUGUGCAAAACAGAUUGUACUUAGGUAUUCAUUAAACAUCUUUUGAGCAUCUACUGUCUGUCAGGCACUGUGCUAGGCAUCUGAGAAACAAGGAUGGUCCCUACAGUUUAAUGUGAAGAGGUAUUUUAAUUGUAUUCCACAAGUAUAUUGGUCAUAACUUUAUUUUGAUGUUUCUAAAUAAAUUUUAUAUUAACUAAAUAAAUGGAUACUGUUAGGUGGAAAAAUGCAUGUUUAAGAAGGAUUUUGCUGUAUUUUAUUAAAAUAGAAAUAUAUAAUGAAAAAUUUUCCACUUAAUACUGUAUUCUGGGGCUUUCUAUUCUGUAUAUAAUUUACUAAUUUUAGACCAUAAAAAUAGUCUAUGUGACCAUCAUUACUAGUAUUUUAAUUGAUACAUACUUUUAUUUGAAGAUUAUCAACAUUGUUUAUUGAAGUAUCUCUUAUAAAAUUAUUCCAAAACAAAAAACAAAACCCAAACUCUCCAAACUUAAACUUUUUUUUUCUCAAAAGUAACUUCUCUUCUUACAUUUCAUAUACCAGGUUAUCUUUCAUGGUUCAUUGGAAUACAUGGUACAUCAUUUUCAUUUUGAUCAUUUAGUUAUUUUCUAUAGUUUAAGCUAACAGUAUAAUUUAUUUAUCAUGGAAUAAUUAUGGUAUAUACUGUUCAGGAGUUUUGGAAUUUUCAUUGUGUACUAGAUAAAUUUCUCCAAGAUCCUCAUUAGAAACUUUCCAGUUCUACCUCAAAAUUGGUUAGUUGCAAUUAUUAAUCCUCACUAUGUUAUGUAACUUCAGUAAAAUGAGUUGUUAAUUUCUUAGUUAAUGGAUGUUUCAAAACCAAAGAAUAGUAUCUUGGUUCCUAUCAUGGCUUUCGUAUGUAAUUUAAAGAUUAGAGAGAGAUUUCCUGGAUUUUCUUUGUCCUUCUUAAACUGUACCUCUUAGAGUAAUAUUGAUUCACAAUUUGGAAGGAGGAGGGGCUUGGGCUCCCUUGCUGGUACAGUAUCUUGUGCAGGUAAAUAGAUUCCUGAAGGUCAAUCUGAUCUCUUUCAAAGUCAUUCUUAACUUUUAUUUUAGUACUAAUCAUAAUUACCAUUUAUUAUAAGUAUCUAAUACUGUGACAAAUAUAACAAAACACUCAUCCUGUGAAUUUUGAACAUUGUUCCCAUGUUACAAAUGGGGAAACCUAUUACUGACAAAACAGCAUUUUACAUAUAGCAGCAAAAUAUUCAAUCACCGUAAAUUCAUAACUUUUUUAAUUUAAAAUACAGACACAGUAACUUUUAUCAGUCAGUAAUUUCUCUGGUAAACAUCAGUAAAAUCAUUGCCCCAGUAGCUUAUUGAUGGAGUGAUGGAAAAUUUCUAAAAGUUUACAAGGACAGAAAACCAAUUAAAAAAAUCCAAUUCUUUAUAAGGUGCACAGAUACAGAUCAGUGUGCAACUUGAAGUAAAAUACACUUGACACUUGAACAACACAGGUUUGAACUGUUCGUCCACUUAUAUGCAAAUUUUUUAUAGCACUGUAAGUAUUUUUUUCUUCCUUAUGAUUUUAACUUUUUUCCUCUAGCUUUAUUAUAAGAAUACAAUAUAUAAUACAUGUAACAUACAAAAUGUGUGUUAAUUGACUGUUUAUGUUAUUGGUUAAGGCUUCUGGUCAACAGUAGGCUUUUGGUAGUUAACUUUUAGGGGAGAUAGAAAUUAUACUGGAUUUUCAACUGCGCAGAGGUCAGCACUCUCAUUGUUCAAGGGUCAGCUGUAAACGUAAAGUCAAUCUUCUCUUUGUAUGGCAAAAAUUACAUUUAGGCUUUCUACAUAUUGAACUUCCUUUCUCUUGCAUGAGUUACAUUUUGCAUUUUGUUACAUGAAGUUUGAAAGUUCCAACAAUUUGUGACCCAGUGAAUAUUUACUAUAAACAUUUUAAUGUAAAUGUUGAUAAUGGAAAACCUCGAAAUAGAGGAGACUUUAUAUUGUCUAAUGCUUGAGUGUUUAUAUACACAUAUCUUCUGGAUCCUGUAUCUUAAAAGAUUUUCAUAAUUACCACAUUACACAUAUAGAAUUAAGUUUAAUGUAUUCUUUUUAGUACUAUUUAAAGUCAGAAAUAUUUUUAGUAUAAGAAUGGACAACUUGUUGGUUUCUCCAGAUUCCUAAAUUAUUAUUCUUUAAAGCAGCUACUGAAUUAAAAUACUUUUUGAUCUAGCUAACUAGCGUUGAUUUUUACAUUCUUUGCUUCUAGGAGAAAAGAGUAAUUUGUAAAAAUUACUAAUCAAGUAAUUUUCAUAUUUAUCCUAAGUAAAUACACAUUCAUCCUAUAUGCAUAAGUUGCUGAUAUCAUUCUAUAAGCAAUUAUGCCAAUGCAUUAUGUCCUGUAGAAUUUCAAAAUAUUUUAAAUGCUGAGGAACUAUUCUCUGUUAUCUAUUAUACUUCAGAAAGGAAAUUUUAUACCAAAUUAGUUUUAUUGUUUUUAAGAACAAUCUAAGUAAUUGGUCAGAUAGAAUAAGUCAUUGGUCUCCAGUAAUUUCCUUAGAUAACCCAAAGGUAAUUCUUAAGAGGUAAUACCUAAAUAUAGGUACCCAAAGUUACCUAUAUUACCCAAAGGUAAUACCUAAAUAUAAAGAUUAAAAGUAAAGAUUCUUACAUGUCAUUGUUUCUGUUUGAGGUACUUCUAUAUCAUGUAAAAUUUCAGAAGUUGGAAUGACUCAGAAUUUUUCAGAAAGACAAGGUGAGAACCAGGCUUAACAUCUAUUAAAGACAUAUCUUCUAAUGUAGUUGGACAUAAUGGAAAAGAAAAUCACUAAUGACAUCAUACUGGUGUAAAGCAUACACUUCAUUCAAAGUUGUAGGUGACUAAUUCUAACUUGAGUCCUAUUUCAGUUGACCUAUAUAACCUUUUCUUAGAGAACUUGUAAUUAAAUUUUGUGUCAUUGAAUAAUUUAUUAGAACAUAUUAUGUUAAAGGACUAAAAUGAGUUACAUAAAUCAGUCACCAGCCUUGCAGUGGUGAAAAAUUUUUGCACAUCCAUGCUUCACUGAGUUCUUUGCCAACCAACCAACAUUCAGGCAAUGAGAGGAAACAUUUCUGUAUGGGGCUAGUGUUAAAAUUUACAUUCUUGUGCUGCCCUUUUUUUUUUUUUUUCUUUUUUAAUUUAGUGUCUAACUCAUGGAAGUUUGUUUCUUCAGGUUGACUGAAUGCAAAAUUAGAUUUAUCCUUGCAUCCAAAGCCAUCUUUUUCUAUAUACAUUGAGUCCAGACAUGUUCUACUGAUCUGUUGACCAUUAAUUAACUUAGUUUAUACAAUCUUAAUGUUACUACUAUCUAAAAAUAAUAAUCUUGGCUGUAUAUAUACGGUCACUAAUGUUGGAGGAGGGAAGUGCUCCACAUCCAACAAAAGAAACGUAUUGAUUUUUAAAUAACUUUCCUUACUUGGGAUUACUGAUCUAAAAAACAGCAGCUAUGUAAGUUAAAAAGGAUUUUUAUUUAUUUGGAAAGUCAAAUGUAAAGUGUAUCAUUAAUGAAUGAAUAUUAAGCAACAUCAAAAUAUUUAGAAAGUCAAAUACAUGUUGCAGUAAUGACAGAACUAUAGAGGCUAUUUUGUAGCAUUAUUCCAAAAUCAUUUUCCUUCUUCCACAUUUGUCACACGAGUUUUUGCUGAAGGAUUUCUUGGCCAUUUUAGAGACUGUAAUCUAGUUAAAAGGUUUGUUUAUACUUCCCAUCUCUGUUCUGCUGAUGGUAUUAGAAUGCAGGCCAGAGCCAGACAUCUAACUGUUUAUAACAUUCAAACUUCAAUUAAAGCUGCAGUGUUCAGUUCACUAUAUAUCAGAAAGCUUAUACCAGCUACAAAUAUCACCACUAAUGAUGGCAAUGAUUUUGUGUAGCCAUAGGCCUUCCUAAAUUAUGCCAUUCCUUGUGAAUACUUUUUUCCUUUUAGAUGGUAUUAACAUUAAUUCUUUCAUAGAAGUCUAAAGAUGAAGUUUAUUUUCUACCAGUAGUAAAGCAUUUUCUUUAGCAGUUUCUUUUGAUAAUGAAACCAAACAGCUUAUAUUAUUGUGUAUCUUAUUUAAAUGUCCAGUUUAGUUUUUAGUUGUUUUUUUUAAAUUAAUAAAUUUGAUAGUAGAUGUUUGUUAGCUAAUUGAUUCAACUCAGGUUUCCAGUUUGAAGAAAGUAGCGAUAUGUUGCGUAAUAGAAAACAAAAGUAACAGUCAUAUUACUCCAGUGUUUUGUGUAUGUGAGGAGACUAGACCCGCAUAGUACAGAUUUUAAUUUAAUCUUAUGUUGCUUUUCUGGUCUGCUGCUCUGCUGUUUGUGGUUUCUAUGUUCUAAGUAUGUUGGUAAACUAUUUAAAUUUUUUUCUUUUGAAAACUUUUAAGAAUUCUUUAAAAACAUUUCUUCAGCAGCUUCACUGUUUUUGCUCAUUCUACCUCAUUGAUUUAGAAAAUGAAUUAUGUGUGUAUGUGUUUAAUUUUGUAAUGACUAGGCA
ensembl:lncRNA uncharacterized LOC115520475